rnacentral:rRNA from 1 species
UACGUAGGGCGCAAGCGUUAUCCGGAAUUAUUGGGCGUAAAGAGCUCGUAGGCGGUCUGUCGCGUCUGCUGUGAAAACUCAGGGCUUAACCCCGAGCUUGCAGUGGGUACGGGGCAGGACUAGAGUGCGGUAGGGGAGAGCUGGAAUUCCUGGUGUAGCGGUGAAAUGCGCAGAUAUCAGGAGGAACACCGGUGGCGAAGGCGGGUCUCUGGGCCGUAACUGGACGCUGGAGGAGCGAAAGCAUGGGGAGCGAACAGGA